CCCCCCCCCCCCCCCCCCCCCCCCCCCCCCCCCCCCCCCCCCCCCCCCCCCCCCCCCCCCCCCCCCCCCCCCCCCCCCCCCCCCCCUGCCGCUCGUGGGGCGGGAACUGCGCCCCAAAUCCCAGGUUUUCCAUGGAGCCCGUCCCGGUGUGCGGCUCGGCAUCGGCGUCGUGGUACAGGCUGUGGGAAUAGCGGCGAUCCAGCGGGAAUCCCGCCGCUCCCCCCUCCCCCCCCGCCGGGCCCUGCUCUUUCCCUCCCCGUUCCCACCAUUCCCGAAACCCGCGGGAUCUCCAAGAACCCCUCUGGGUUCAUCCCCGCAGCGAAUCCCGGGAAUCCCGCGAAUGCCAAGGAAACCCCAAGGAACCCCCAAACUCACCCCGCGCCCCAAGGCUGGGCCUGUAGACGCUGCCCACGCUGAGCCGCGCUUGGCUGUCGGGCACGGCCUGCGGAAUUUCGGGAAUGAAGGGCUCGGGGUGGGCGAUCCCAAAGGAUUCGGACGCCCGGAACGGCGGGUGCUGCUCGUGGGGCGGGAACUGCGCCCCAAAUCCCAGGUUUUCCAUGGAGCCCGUCCCGGUGUGCGGCUCGGCAUCGGCGUCGUGGUACAGGCUGUGGGAAUAGCGGCGAUCCAGCGGGAAUCCCGCCGCUCCGUAGGGAUUCGGCUCCUCCCCGAAAUCCUCGGGAUGCGCGCGGGGUUGGAGCGGGAACGCCACCCCCGUCCCUGUCCCCAUAUUUGUCCCCAUCCCUGUCCUUAUCCUUGUCUCCAUGCCUGUCCCCAUCCCUGUCUCCAUCCCUGUCCCCAUCGCUGUCCCCAUCGCUGUCCUUAUCCCUGUCUCCAUCCCUGUCCCCAUCGCUGUCCCCAUCGCUGUCCUUAUCCCCGUCUCCAUCCCUGUCCUUACGAACCCGGAGCCGGUCAGCGUGUCGGCCGCGUGCCCGUUCUCGCCGAUCAGGGUCAUGUUGGAGCCGGGCCGGCACGAGUCGCGACACAGCCCCUUCAGACACGUCCUCCGGCAGAUCAGGGGGGCGAAGACCACCUUGAAGCGCUCCCGGGCCACGGCCGCGCCCCCCCCGCGCCCCCCACCCCCCCCCCCCCCCCCCCCCCCCCCCCCCCCCCCCCCCCCCCCCCCCCCCCCCCCCCCCCCCCCCCCCCCCCCCCCCCCCCCCCCCCCCCCCCCCCCCCCCCCCCCCCCCCCCCCCCCCC
rnacentral:lncRNA from 1 species